UCAGUCUUUCGGGGACCGUGACGCUGGGAAGGUUCCGGCCGGGCCGAGGACGUCGCAUCUCCCUGUCCUCCUCCCCUUGGACCAUUCCCUGAAGCCCCUCAAUAAAAUGGUUUGAUCCCAGCG